rnacentral:rRNA from 1 species
AGGACGAACGCUGGCGGCGUGCUUAACACAUGCAAGUCGAGCGGUAAGGCCUUUCGGGGUACACGAGCGGCGAACGGGUGAGUAACACGUGGGUGAUCUGCCCUGCACUCUGGGAUAAGCCUGGGAAACUGGGUCUAAUACCGGAUAUGACCUGCUCUCGCAGUGGGGGUGGGUGGAAAGUAUUUAUCGGUGCAGGAUGGGCCCGCGGCCUAUCAGCUUUGGUUGGGUGGGGUAAUGGCCUACCGAAGGCGACGACGGGUAGCCGACCUGAGAGGGUGACCGGCCACACGUGGGACUGAGACACGGCCCAGACCUCCGUACGGGAGGCAGCAGGUGGGGAAUAUUCGCACAAGUGGGACGAAAGCCU